GGGGGGGGGGGGGGGGGGGGGGGGGGCGGGGGGGGCGGGGGGGGGCGCGGGAGGGGGUUGGUCUUGCGGGUGGCGGGUGGCGGACGGGGGGGGGAUACGUCGGGAGCUACGUUUUCGUGGGGGAUAACGGAGGGAAACUUACGCUAAUACCGCAUACGACCUACGGGUGAAAGCAGGGGAUCUUCGGACCUUGCGCGAUUGACUGAGCCGAUGUCGGAUUAGCUAGUUGGCGGGGUAAAGGCCCACCAAGGCGACGAUCCGUAGCUGGUCUGAGAGGAUGAUCAGCCACACUGGAACUGAGACACGGUCCAGACUCCUACGGGAGGCAGCAGUGGGGAAUAUUGGACAAUGGGCGCAAGCCUGAUCCAGCCAUACCGCGUGGGUGAAGAAGGCCUUCGGGUUGUAAAGCCCUUUUGUUGGGAAAGAAAAGCAGCAGGUUAAUACCCCGCUGUUCUGACGGUACCCAAAGAAUAAGCACCGGCUAACUUCGUG
rnacentral:rRNA from 1 species